UACGUAGGGGGCUAGCGUUGUCCGGAAUCAUUGGGCGUAAAGAGCUCGUAGGCGGCCUGUUGCGUCCGCUGUGAAAUCCCGGGGCUUAACCCCGGGCGUGCAGUGGAUACGGGCUGGCUGGAGGCAGGCAGGGGAGAACGGAAUUCCCGGUGUAGCGGUGAAAUGCGCAGAUAUCGGGAGGAACACCGGUGGCGAAGGCGGUUCUCUGGGCCUGUACUGACGCUGAGGAGCGAAAGCGUGGGGAGCGAACAGG
rnacentral:rRNA from 1 species